rnacentral:rRNA from 1 species
CGGGACGGGUGAGUAAUGUCUGGGAAACUGCCUGAUGGAGGGGGGUAACUACUGGAAACGGUAGCUAAUACCGCAUAACGUCGCAAGACCAAAGAGGGGGACCGUUCGGGCCUCUUGCCAUCGGAUGUGCCCAGAUGGGAUUAGCUAGUAGGUGGGGUAACGGCUCACCUAGGCGACGAUCCCUAGCUGGUCUGAGAGGAUGGCCAGCCACACUGGAACUGAGACACGGUCCAG